UACGUAGGGUGCGAGCGUUAAUCGGAAUUACUGGGCGUAAAGCGUGCGCAGGCGGUUUUGUAAGCCAGAUGUGAAAUCCCCCGGGCUCAACCUGGGAACUGCAUUUGUGACUGCAUGGCUAGAGUCCGGAAGAGGAGAGUGGAAUUCCCGGUGUAGCGGUGAAAUGCGCAGAUAUCGGGGAAGAACACCUAUGGCGGAAGGCAGCUCUCUGGGACGG
rnacentral:rRNA from 1 species